CUACGGGGUGCAGCAGUGAGGAAUAUUGCACAAUGGGGGAACCCUGAUGCAGCAACGCCGCGUGGAGGAUGACGCAUUUCGGUGUGUAAACUCCUUUUAUAUGUCAAGAAAAUGACGGUAGCAUAUGAAUAAGCACCGGCUAACUCCGUGCCAGCAGCCGCGGUAAUACGGAGGGUGCAAGCGUUACUCGGAAUCACUGGGCGUAAAGGACGCGUAGGCGGGUUGGAAAGUCAGGUGUGAAGUCCUACAGCUUAACUGUAGAACUGCACUUGAAACUUCUAAUCUAGAGUAUGGGAGGGGGAGAUGGAAUUAGUGGUGUAGGGGUAAAAUCCGUAGAUAUCACUAGGAAUACCUAAAGCGAAGGCGAUCUCCUGGAACAUUACUGACGCUAAGGCGUGAAAGCGUGGGGAGCAAACAGGAUUAGAUACCCUCGUAGUC
rnacentral:rRNA from 1 species